rnacentral:tRNA from 2 species
CUAUUUAUGAGAAUUAUUCUCUCUUACCA